UACGUAGGCAGCGAGCGUUGUUCGGAGUUACUGGGCGUAAAGGGUGUGUAGGCGGUUCUUUAAGUUUGGUGUGAAAUCUCCCGGCUCAACCGGGAGGGUGCGCCGAAUACUGAGGGACUAGAGUGCGGGAGAGGAAUGUGGAAUUCCUGGUGUAGCGGUGAAAUGCGUAGAUAUCAGGAGGAACACCGGUGGUGUAGACGGCUUUCUGGACCGUAACUGACGCUGAGACACGAAAGCGUGGGUAGCAAACAGG
rnacentral:rRNA from 1 species